UACGAAGGGGGCUAGCGUUGCUCGGAAUCACUGGGCGUAAAGCGCACGUAGGCGGAUUGCUAAGUCAGGGGUGAAAUCCUGGAGCUCAACUCCAGAACUGCCUUUGAUACUGGCGAUCUUGAGUCCGGGAGAGGUGAGUGGAACUGCGAGUGUAGAGGUGAAAUUCGUAGAUAUUCGCAAGAACACCAGUGGCGAAGGCGGCUCACUAGCCCGGUACUGACGCUGAGGUGCGAAAGCGUGGGGAGCAAACAGG
rnacentral:rRNA from 1 species